AAUAUUGGAUAAUGGGCGAAAGCCUGAUCCAGCCAUGCCGCGUGUGUGAAGAAGGUCUUCGGAUUGUAAAGAACUUUAAUUUGGGAGGAAGGGGUUGAAGCGAAUACCUUCAAUCUUUGACGUUACCAACAGAAUAAGCACCGGCUAACGCUGUGCCAGCAGCCGCGGUAAGACGAAUGGUGCAAGCGUUAAUCGGAAUUACUGGGCGUAAAGCGCGCGUGGGUGGUUUGUUAAGUUAGAAGUGAGAGCACCGGGCUCAACCUAGGAACUGCUUUCAAAACUGACAAGCUAAAGUAUGGCAGAGAGUGGUGGAAUUUCCUGUGUAGCGGUAGAAGGCAUAGAUAUAGGAAGGGAAAACAGUGGCGAAGGCGACCGCCUGGGCUAAUACUGACACUGAGGUGCGAAAGCGUGGGGAGCAAACAGG
rnacentral:rRNA from 1 species